AAAGCCCCGCAAGGGGUAAGUAGAGUGGCAAACGGGUGAGUAACACGUGGGUGACCUGCCUUCGAGUGGGGGAUAACGUCCCGAAAGGGACGCUAAUACCGCAUGACAUCCUGCGUUUGGAAACGCGGAGAUCAAAGCCUGGGAUCGCAAGACCUGGCGCUUGAAGAGGGGCCCGCGCCUGAUUAGCUAGUUGGUGGGGUAACGGCCUACCAAGGCGACGAUCAGUAUCCGGCCUGAGAGGGCGGACGGACACACUGGGACUGAGACACGGCCCAGACUCCUACGGGAGGCAGCAGUGGGGAAUUGUUCGCAAUGGGCGCAAGCCUGACGACGCAACGCCGCGUGGAGGACGAAGAUCUUCGGGUCGUAAACUCCUGUCGAGCGGGAAGAACGCUUCCCGGGUGAAUAAUCCGGGGAAUUGACGGUACCGCUAAAGGAAGCCCCGGCUAACUCCGUGCCAGCAGCCGCGGUAAUACGGGGGGGGCAAGCGUUGUUCGGAAUUACUGGGCGUAAAGGGCUCGUAGGCGGCCAACUAAGUCGGAUGUGAAAUCCCCAGGCUUAACCUGGGAAACUGCAUCCGAUACUGGAUGGCUUGAAUUCGGGAGAGGGAUGCAGAAUUCCAGGUGUAGCGGUGAAAUGCGUAGAUAUCUGGAGGAAUACCGGUGGCGAAGGCGGCAUCCUGGACCGACAUUGACGCUGAUGAGCGAAAGCCAGGGGAGCAAACGGGAUUAGAUACCCCGGUAGUCCUGGCCCUAAACGAUGAAUGCUUGGUGUGGCGGGUAUCGAU
rnacentral:rRNA from 1 species